rnacentral:rRNA from 1 species
UGCAAGUCGAGCGGACAGAAGGGAGCUUGCUCCCGGAUGUUAGCGGCGGACGGGUGAGUAACACGUGGGUAACCUGCCUGUAAGACUGGGAUAACUCCGGGAAACCGGAGCUAAUACCGGAUAGUUCCUUGAACCGCAUGGUUCAAGGAUGAAAGACGGUUUCGGCUGUCACUUACAGAUGGACCCGCGGCGCAUUAGCUAGUUGGUGAGGUAACGGCUCACCAAGGCGACGAUGCGUAGCCGACCUGAGAGGGUGAUCGGCCACACUGGGACUGAGACACGGCCCAGACUCCUACGGGAGGCAGCAGUAGGGAAUCUUCCGCAAUGGACGAAAGUCUGACGGAGCAACGCCGCGUGAGUGAUGAAGGUUUUCGGAUCGUAAAGCUCUGUUGUUAGGGAAGAACAAGUGCAAGAGUAACUGCUUGCACCUUGACGGUACCUAACCAGAAAGCCACGGCUAACUACGUGCCAGCAGCCGCGGUAAUACGUAGGUGGCAAGCGUUGUCCGGGAAUUAUUGGGCGUAAAGGGCUCGCAGGCGGUUUCUUAAGUCUGAUGUGAAAGCCCCCGGCUCAACCGGGGAGGGUCAUUGGAAACUGGGAAACUUGAGUGCAGAAGAGGAGAGUGGAAUUCCACGUGUAGCGGUGAAAUGCGUAGAGAUGUGGAGGAACACCAGUGGCGAAGGCGACUCUCUGGUCUGUAACUGACGCUGAGGAGCGAAAGCGUGGGGAGCGAACAGGAUUAGAUACCCUGGUAGUCCACGCCGUAAACGAUGAGUGCUAAGUGUUAGGGGGUUUCCGCCCCUUAGUGCUGCAGCUAACGCAUUAAGCACUCCGCCUGGGGAGUACGGUCGCAAGACUGAAACUCAAAGGAAUUGACGAGGGGCCCGCACAACGCGGUGGAGCAUGUGGUUUAAUUCGAAGCAACGCGAAGAACCUUACCAGGUCUUGACAUCCUCUGACAACCCUAGAGAUAGGGCUUUCCCUUCGGGGACAGAGUGACAGGUGGUGCAUGGUUGUCGUCAGCUCGUGUCGUGAGAUGUUGGGUUAAGUCCCGCAACGAGCGCAACCCUUGAUCUUAGUUGCCAGCAUUCAGUUGGGCACUCUAAGGUGACUGCCGGUGACAAACCGGAGGAAGGUGGGGAUGACGUCAAAUCAUCAUGCCCCUUAUGACCUGGGCUACACACGUGCUACAAUGGACAGAACAAAGGGCUGCGAGACCGCAAGGUUUAGCCAAUCCCACAAAUCUGUUCUCAGUUCGGAUCGCAGUCUGCAACUCGACUGCGUGAAGCUGGAAUCGCUAGUAAUCGCGGAUCAGCAUGCCGCGGUGAAUACGUUCCCGGGCCUUGUACACACCGCCCGUCACACCACGAGAGUUUGCAACACCCGAAGUCGGUGAGGUAACCUUUAUGGAGCCAGCCGCCGAAGGUGGGGCAGAUGAUUGGGGUGAAGUCGUACA